rnacentral:lncRNA from 1 species
CAAGUAUAAUACAUUUCGCUUAUAUGUGGAAUGUAAAAAGUAAAACAAACACAUGAAAAUAACAAAACCGAAACCAAUUCCUAGAUACAGAGAAAACACUAAUGGUUACCAGAGGGAGGAGGGAAGGGGGCUGGGGCCAUAGAGCGGGAGGUGAUUCAGAGACACACAAAGAGAUAAGCUUUGGGAACAUACUGCACAGUACAGGGAACGGAGCCACCACUGAAUGAUGCCUUUAAAUGCAUAACCGUCUAAACUGUUGAAGGAUGUCCACCUGAAAUUAAAAUAAUGUUGUAAAUCAACCACGCUUCCAUAAAAACCAUCAGCACGUGUUUUCCGUGCGGAGAGAUGUAUGCAGAGAAUCCGCAUCGGACGUGUUGAGGAGAAAUGCCACUGUCCGCAGAGCAUCCGAGAGCCCCGCGUGGAACACUGUGUGGCUGUCUGUGAGCAGGACACCCGGGGGGAGAGCCGAGGCCACGCAGAGAGCCCCCAGGGGAAGCACGGUGGGCGGGCAUUCCAGAAGCAGAGGGUCGGGGAGGCGGGGGUUCGGGCAGCCUCCGGGGCUUUGCUCGGAGGGGAGGAUGAGGAUGUGGGAGAGUGAGGCACAGGGAGCGGGGUGCUCUUUGGGUUUCCAAAAUAAUCAUUCUGGGAGUGUCCAUGGUGGCUCAGCAGCGUAAGGACUCGAUGUUGUCUCUGUGGGAUGCAGGUUCAAUCCCUGGCCUCGAGGGUGAGAGGUCCAGCGUUGCUCUAAGCUGCCGCGUAGGUUGCAGAGGUGGCUCAGAUCCAGUAUUGCAGUGGCUGUGGUGCAGGCCACCGCUGCAGCUCUGAUUCGAACCCUGGCCCAUGAACUUCCAUAUGCUGCAGGUGUGGCCAUACAAAAAGAAUUAUUCUGGCCCUCAGGUGGAGAAGAGUGUCCAGGGAAAGAGGGGGAAAUGGGACACCAAUUACAUGGCUCUUGCAAUCACCCAAACAAGAAACAACCAUGGCCUGGCCAGAGCUGGGGGCAGAGAAAAGGAGGAGAAGGCUUUGGAUGGAAUUUGCACUCAGAAGUGUAGGAAGGGUAGAUGGUCUCCUGUUGACCGGCUGUUUACACAUAGACGUCUGUUGGGUGGAGCCACGGAACAUUCUCAUCCAGGCUCCUGGUUGCGUGAUGCUGGCCACAUGGGUUAUAAAGGCACGAACCACUGGAGGACCCCAGCUCAUCACCAUCCCCAACACGCUCUGCUCUGUGUAUUUGCUAAAAACUGAGAGAAGCCAGCACUUCACUAACGGACAUCUUUACUGCCUUAAAUAAGUUGAUACCUAAAUAAAUACACAUGUAUGUCAGUAUCAUGCUGACAUACGCACUAGUGUGAGUUAGUUCAGUUUUGUCUUUUGAUGACAAACUCAAUUGCAUGCGUCUUCUCUCAGCUUAAUAUAGAAAUAUAUCUCAUAAACGUACCAUUCUUUCACAUUUAGACCUACUGGGUGACGUUCUUGUCCAACUUCUGUCCACACAAGAGCGAUUGUUCCCUUGUAAAAUGUACCUAGUUUAACUCAUUUCUUUAGGUCAGUCUGCAUUUUCCAUCAUUGCUAAUCCCAUCACCAUCCUUCAUUACCUGUCAACAAACAAGUGCGUUUACCUGAAGCCUUUUCCUUUCAUCAUAUAAUUAAUUAAGGAGUUAAUUAAUAUCAGGCGUAUUGUUGGCCUCGGUGACACUUCAUUAAAUACUUCCAUCCUGGAGACACUGUCACUUAUUUUACUUAUUAUUAAUGGCUUUGAACUUCAGUUCAUUUUAAUGUCAACACUCAUAUUUAACCCACAGUGAAUUAAUUUUGCAGGUGAAAUCUCAUCCAAAGGUUAUGGCAUCAAUUCUUGGUUAAAGGCCAUUUAUCGUCUCCCAGCAUCUGGUUUGAGUUGGUUUUUGACUACCCUCAAAUUCCAGACAGUGGCAUAUGGCAAUUCAAAAAUCACCAGGCACUUCACUCUCAGCUGUUUAUAUACACACACACGCACACAUAUGUUUAUGCAUGUGUGUAUAUGUGUAUAGGUGUAUAUGCACACUCACGUAUACAUAUACAUAUAAGGGUGUCUAUGUGUAUGUACAGACAUGCACACACAUAAUCUUACAUCUACUACAAUGUGCAAAAUCCCCUUCGGUUAUAAUCUUUUACUGGGCAUUCCCGCCACCUCCUUAACUUUACAUAAACUUGAUUUUAUUCUCCCACAUAUUUCUCUUUAUAUCUAUGCCUACAUAUAUAUUAAUUGUAUAUCAUUUGUCUUCCAUGGGCUUCACAUCGCCGGGACUUUGGGGUGGGGUCCUCCGUGGUCUCUGCUGCUCCUGUGAGAUAAUACCCUGCCUUCCUUGUUGAUUCCACUCAUUCCACUAAGCAUCACCCCAACUGCCGCCUCAGACUGCCGAUCCCGGAAGCUGGGUGAGGGUCUCCCUCCUACAUCUAAUGCCCAGCCUCGCCGGCUGUGUUUGACACUGUGUGGGGGUCCCUCCCCCUCAGACCCCAAGUGGACCAGCCCGGCCAGUGGUGACCCCUGCCUGCUGCUUCCCAGGCCCUCUCUGGGGGGUGGGAUUUGCUGGGUGUCAGCUCUGGAGCGCACUUUGGUUUCCCACCCUCUGCCUGAUGGGGUCUGCCGCCUUCCUGGAAGCACAAGGGGCCGCUCUGGCUCUCAGAGGCCCAUCGCCUGGCGAGAGGCAGCCUUGAGCCGCAGGUUGGAGCUUUGCUCUGAGUGGCGGGACACUCAGCAGCCCAGCACGGUAGCUGACUCUGAGGAGAUUGCUCUCCCCCGUUUGCAUUCCUAAGUGUUGCCACAUUUAUUCAAGUCUUACACAGACUCCCAGAGAGAAGUACAUGGCUCAUAGGUGUUCAGAGUCGUGGCGUCUAUAAAGCGAAGGUUCCCAUAACUCGUCUCUCCCCACUUGGCCAAAACGGAUUUUCCACAUCACCCACAAACUCUGUGUUGCCGGGCAGGUCUGAAACACUCCUCUCAGAGUUCCCGUUGUAGAGCAAUGGGAUCAGCAGCAUCUCUGGAGCGCUGGGACGCAGGUUCUAUCCCUGGUCCAGCACAGUGGGUUAAGGAUCUGGUGUUGCCAUUGCUGCAGUAUAGACCAAACCUCCAGCUGGGAUCUGAUCCCUGCCCCGGGAGCACUACAUGCUAAAGGGCAGCCAGAAAAGAAGGAAAAAAAAUAGAAAAAGAAAAAAAAA